CGAGGGAGCCCCAGCACAGGUGCUGCAUGGCCGUCGUCAGCUCGUGUCGUGAGAUGUUGGGUUAAGUCCCGCAACGAGCGCAACCCCUGCCCUUAGUUGCCAGCGGGUUAGGCCGGGCACUCUAAGGGGACUGCCUGCGAAAGCAGGAGGAAGGCGGGGACGACGUCUGGUCAUCAUGGCCCUUACGGCCUGGGCGACACACGUGCUACAAUGCCCACUACAGAGCGAGGCGACCCAGCGAUGGGGAGCGAAUCGCAAAAAGGUGGGCGUAGUUCGGAUUGGGGUCUGCAACCCGACCCCAUGAAGCCGGAAUCGCUAGUAAUCGCGGAUCAGCCAUGCCGCGGUGAAUACGUUCCCGGGCCUUGUACACACCGCCCGUCACGCCAUGGGAGCGGGUUCUACCCGAAGUCGCCGGGAGCCUUAGGGCAGGCGCCGAGGGUAGGGCUCGUGACUGGGGCGAAGUCGUAACAAGGUAGCUGUACCGGAAGGUGCGGCUGGAUCACCUCCUUUCUAAG
rnacentral:rRNA from 1 species